UCGUAACAAGGUCUCCGUUGGUGAACCAGCGGAGGGAUCAUUACCGAGUUUACAACUCCCAAACCCAAUGUGAACGUUACCAAUCUGUUGCCUCGGCGGGAUUCUCUGCCCCGGGCGCGUCGCAGCCCCGGAUCCCAUGGCGCCCGCCGGAGGACCAACUCAAACUCUUUUUUCUCUCCGUCGCGGCCUACGUCGCGGCUCUGUUUUAUUUUUGCUCUGAGCCUUUCUCGGCGACCCUAGCGGGCGUCUCGAAAAUGAAUCAAAACUUUCAACAACGGAUCUCUUGGUUCUGGCAUCGAUGAAGAACGCAGCGAAAUGCGAUAAGUAAUGUGAAUUGCAGAAUUCAGUGAAUCAUCGAAUCUUUGAACGCACAUUGCGCCCGCCAGUAUUCUGGCGGGCAUGCCUGUCCGAGCGUCAUUUCAACCCUCGAACCCCUCCGGGGGGUCGGCGUUGGGGAUCGGCCCCUCACCGGGCCGCCCCCGAAAUACAGUGGCGGUCUCGCCGCAGCCUCUCCUGCGCAGUAGUUUGCACACUCGCACCGGGAGCGCGGCGCGGCCACAGCCGUAAAACACCCCAAACUCUGAAAUGUUGACCUCGGAUCAGGUAGGAAUACCCGCUGAACUUAAGCAUAUCAAUAA
rnacentral:misc_RNA from 1 species